rnacentral:rRNA from 1 species
AUUGAACGCUGGCGGCAUGCUUUACACAUGCAAGUCGAACGGUAACAGGCCGCAAGGUGCUGACGAGUGGCGAACGGGUGAGUAAUGCAUCGGAACGUGCCCAGUCGUGGGGGAUAACGCAGCGAAAGCUGCGCUAAUACCGCAUACGAUCUAUGGAUGAAAGCGGGGGACCGUAAGGCCUCGCGCGAUUGGAGCGGCCGAUGUCAGAUUAGGUAGUUGGUGGGGUAAAGGCUCACCAAGCCAACGAUCUGUAGCUGGUCUGAGAGGACGACCAGCCACACUGGGACUGAGACACGGCCCAGACUCCUACGGGAGGCAGCAGUGGGGAAUUUUGGACAAUGGGCGCAAGCCUGAUCCAGCAAUGCCGCGUGCAGGAAGAAGGCCUUCGGGUUGUGAACUGCUUUUGUACGGAACGAAACGGUCCUGGUUAAUACCCGGGGCUAAUGACGGUACCGUAAGAAUAAGCACCGGCUAACUACGUGCCAGCAGCAGCCGCAGUAA